GUCUUUUUGAUUAAUAAUUUAAAGUCUAAUCUGCCCACUGAUAUUAUAUUAAAGGGCUGCAGUAUUUUGACUGUACAAAGGUAGCAUAAUCAUUAGUCUCUUAAUUGGUGACUUGUAUGAAAGAUUUGAUGAGAUAUAUACUGUCUCUUUUUAAUUUAUAAAAUUUAAUUUUUUAGUUAAAAAGCUAAAAUAUAUUUAAAAGACGAGAAGACCCUAUAGAGUUUUAUAUUUAUAUAAAUUAGAAUUUUUUAUAAGAUUUAAAAUUUUAAUAUGUUUAAAUAUUGUGUUGGGGUGAUAAAAAAAUUUGAAUAACUUUUUUUAUAAAUUAACAUUUAUAAAUGAAUAAAUGAUCCGUAAUUUACGAUUAUAAGAAAAAAUUACCUUAGGGAUAACAGCGUAAUUUUUUUUUUUAGUUCAAAUAAGAAUAAAAGUUUGCGACCUCGAUGUUGGAUUAAGAUAAAAUUUAAAUGCAAAAGUUUAAAAUUUUUGAUCUGUUCGAUCAUUAAAAUCUUACA
rnacentral:rRNA from 1 species